CUCAGCAGCCAUACCAUCUUCAGUUCAGACUAUCUAAUUAAUCUGUAGCUAAACAGGCCUGGGCCUGGCCAGUGCUUGGAUAGGAGACCAACUUGGUAAGCUGGGUUGCUGCUGGAA
rnacentral:rRNA from 1 species